CUCAUUCAUCUCUUACAAAUUCUCUAUUCUAACAUUUGAGGCAAAAUCAAGAGAAAUUUCAUUUGAAGAACCUGGUUCAUCAAUGCAUGCUCAUGAGAAUCGCCAUGUAUGUUUCUAUACUUUGCACAAAUAGAAAAACUUAAUUUUCAACCAUGAGCAAGAGUCCUAGAAAACCCAAUCGUCUCUAAAAUUCUAUCCGUUGGGG
rnacentral:lncRNA from 1 species